rnacentral:rRNA from 1 species
UGGGGAAUAUUGCACAAUGGAGGAAACUCUGAUGCAGCGACGCCGCGUGAACGAUGAAGGCUUUCGGGUCGUAAAGUUCUGUCCUUGGGGACGAUAAUGACGGUACCCAAGGAGGAAGCCCCGGCUAACUACGUGCCAGCAGCCGCGGUAAUACGUAGGGGGCAAGCGUUGUCCGGAUUUAUUGGGCGUAAAGGGUUCGCAGGUGGCCUUUUAAGUCAGAUGUGAAAGAUCAAGGCUUAACCUUGGUAAGCAUUUGAAACUGAAAGGCUUGAGUUAAGGAGAGGAAAGUGGAAUUCCUAGUGUAGCGGUGAAAUGCGUAGAUAUUAGGAGGAAUACCAGUGGCGAAGGCGACUUUCUGGACUUAUACUGACACUGAGGAACGAAAGCAUGGGGAGCAAACA